GAAAUGCGAUACGUAAUGUGAAUUGCAAAUUCAGUGAAUCAUCGAGUCUUUGAACGCACAUUGCGCCCCCUGGUAUUCCGGGGGGCAUGCCUGUCCGAGCGUCAUUUCUGCCCUCAAGCACGGCUUGUGUGUUGGGCCCCGUCCUCCGAUCCCGGGGGACGGGCCCGAAAGGCAGCGGCGGCACAGCGUCCGGUCCUCGAGCGUAUGGGGCUUUGUCACCCGCUCUGUAGGCCCGGCCGGCGCUUGCCGAUCAACCCAAAUUUUUAUCCAGGUUGACCUCGGAUCAGGUAGGGAUACCCGCUGAACUUAAGC
rnacentral:misc_RNA from 1 species